CCUACGGGCGGCAGCAGUGGGGAAUAUUGGGCAAUGGAGGAAAGUCUGACCCAGCAACGCCGCGUGAAGGAUGAAGGUCUUCGGGUUGUAAAGUUCUUUUCUAAGGGACGAAGAAAGUGACGGUACCUUAGGAAUAAGCCUCGGCUAACUACGUGCCAGCAGCCGCGGUAAUACGUAGGUGGCAAGCGUUAUCCGGAUUUACUGGGUGUAAAGGGCGCGUAGGUGGUUUGACAAGUCAGUUGCGAAACCCAGGGGCUCAACCUCUGCACUGCAACUGAAACUGUCGGACUUGAGUGCAGGAGAGGCAGAUGGAAUUCCUAGUGUAGCGGUGGAAUGCGUAGAUAUUAGGAGGAACACCAGUGGCGAAGGCGAUUUGCUGGACUGUAACUGACACUGAGGCACGAAAGCGUGGGGAGCAAACAGGAUUAGAUACCCGGGUAGUC
rnacentral:rRNA from 1 species